GAAAAGGAUUUAUUCGCUUCAGGAUGGACUCGCGUCCAAUUAGCUAGUUGGUGAGGUAACGGCCCACCAGGGCGACGAUUGGUAGCCGGACUGAGAGGUUGAACGGCCACAUUGGGACUGAGACACGGCCCAGACUCCUACGGGAGGCAGCAGUGGGGGAUAUUGCACAAUGGGGGAAACCCUGAUGCAGCGACGCCGCGUGGAGGAAGAAGGUUUUCGGAUUGUAAACUCCUGUCGUUAGGGACGAUAACGACGGUACCUAACAAGAAAGCACCGGCUAACUACGUGCCAGCAGCCGCGGUAAAACGUAGGGUGCAAGCGUUGUCCGGAAUUACUCGGUGUAAAGGGAGCGCAGGCGGACCGGCAAGUUGGAAGUGAAAACUAUGGGCUCAACCCAUAAAUUGCUUUCAAAACUGCUGGCCUUGAGUAGUGCAGAGGUAGGUGGAAUUCCCGGUGUAGCGGUGGAAUGCGUAGAUAUCGGGAGGAACACCAGUGGCGAAGGCGACCUACUGGGCACCAACUGACGCUGAGGCUCGAAAGCAUGGGUAGCAAACAGGAUUAGAUACCCUGGUAGUCCAUGCCGUAAACGAUGAUUACUAGGUGUUGGAGGAUUGACCCCUUCAGUGCC
rnacentral:rRNA from 1 species